rnacentral:tRNA from 1 species
GCCGGAAUAGCUCAGUCGGUAGAGCAGAGGACUGAAAAU